rnacentral:tRNA from 1 species
UAGAAAUAUUAAUGAAGAUGGAGAGUUUUGAUCUCUCUUGUGUAGGUUCGAUUCCUGCUUUUCUAA